AAUAUGGGAAAAUGGGGACAACCCUGAUCCAGCCAUGCCGCGUGUGUGAAGAAUGUCAUAGGAAUGUAAAGCACUUUAAGUUGAGAGAAAGGGCUUUAGGUUAAUACCCUGAAGUGUUGACGAUACCAACAGAAUAAGCAUCGGCUAACUCGGAGACAGCAGCCGCGGGAAUACAGUGGGUGCAAGCAUUAAUCGGAAUUAGUGGGCGUAAAGCGCGCGUAGGUGGUUCAGUAAGAUGGGUGUGAAAUCCCCGGGCUUAACCUGGGAACUGCUUUCAUAACUGCUGAGCUAGAGUACGGUAGAGGGUAGUGGAAUUUCCUGUGUAGCGGUGAAAUGCGUAGAUAUAGGAAGGAACACCAGUGGCGAAGGCGACUACCUGGACUGAUACUGACACUGAGGUGCGAAAGCGUGGGGAGCAAACA
rnacentral:rRNA from 1 species